rnacentral:rRNA from 1 species
GACGAAGGUGGCGAGCGUUGUUCGGAAUCACUGGGCAUAAAGCGCACGUAGGCGGCGGCGUAAGUCGGGUGUGAAAUCCCUCGGCCUAACCGAGGAACUGCGCCCGAUACUGCGUUGCUUGAGGGUCAAAGGGGUGCAUGGAAUUCCCGGUGGAGCGGUGAAAUGCGUUGAUAUCGGGAGGAACGCCGGCGGCGAAAGCGGUGCACUGGUUGACUUCUGACGCUCAUGUGCGAAAGCCAGGGGAGCAAACGGG